UGUCCAAGAAGCAAGCAACCAGGGAUCAACACAUCUCAUCUUCUUUUCUCUUCUUUUUCAUUUUCUCUUCUCCAUUCUUACUUGCAACAAUCUUCACUGUAAUGUUAUUUUCUCUUCUCUAUUCUUGCAACAGGUCUUUAUUAUUGAUUUUGGGCUUGCAAAAAGACAUUGAAAUCCUACCACAAACCGCCACAUUUCUUAUAGAUGUCGUCUAUCGGUGAUAACAGUGGGAAUUCUGUAGCUUCAUUACCAAUUAAAGACCUCAAACGCAAUUUUCACCUUCGCCAAUGGAAACUACCACUAUUCAUUGAGAGGAUGAUUGAUACAAUUUCUCUAGUCUCAAUGCCAUUUUUUCAUCUUCGUGGUGAAACCUCUAUCUCUAAAAACUUGUUUCAACUGCCUUAGGGCUUUGAUGAUGGCUACUGCCACCUUCCAUGCCUGCUCUAGUGGUACAUGCAGUAGAUAAGCUUUGCUUUUUUCUUGCAAUACAUGAUGCUUAAAAAAUUUCCAUAGUGCAUAUUAUCCAGUCUGCAGCAAGCUCUCCUACCCUAGUGUUCUAAUGUUCUCUUGGUUGUUGUCUCUUCAUACUGCUCUAGUUCUCUAGUGUUCCAAUGCUCCAACUCUCUCUUGGUUGCCGUAGUUUCCAUAAAAUUGCAAAUUGUCAAGAUUUUUUCUUUGUUGCCUUGUCUCCCAAAGCAUCCAAAUUCGGUUUGCAGAGAGCUUCUCCAUGUUUUUGCUACUUCAAUUCCCAAGUCUUCUAGCCAAAUCCUCAUUCUAGCUUAUGUAGUGCUUGCUGCACAGGCUUUGUUUCCGAGUGUUGUAGAUUAAACAUCAACUGCUGCAACUAGCUUUCUACCCAACUUUUGCCUCUGCCUAGUUUUACUAUAGUUACUUCAACCUAGUUUCUUUGCUACUAUAGUAUUCUAUUAUGGUCCUGUGCUGCCCAGUGUUCUCUGCCUAAUGGUUUGGCUUUAGAUUGUAAUUAUCAUAUGGUUUUGUACAGUGGGAGUGGAAAUUUCUCUCUUUUGUCUUUGUUAUUACUAGGGUGUUGUUUUGUCCUCCUCUUGAGCCCUGUCUUUAUUUGAACUUUGAUAAACCCUCUUGAGCCCUAUAUUUAUUUGAACUUUGAUAAACCCUCAAGAGAAGUAGAUUCUUUUAGUAGUUGUUGUGUGAGUUUUCUUACCAACUUUUGUUUUUAGUUUGUUGUCCUUGCCUUUCAAAAAGAGUGAGCUUAGGUUGUUUCAGGCUCUUCUUUUG